rnacentral:tRNA from 1 species
UCUUAAAAUAUUGAUUAUCAGCAUCUGACUGUUAAUCAGAGGGUCGCUGGUUCAAGUCCAGCUUUGGGAG